rnacentral:tRNA from 1 species
GACAAGCUGGCCAAGUGGUUAGGGUGGUAAAUUACUAAUCUAUUGUGUUCUGUAUACACAGGUUUGAAUCCUUUCUUUGUCU